UCGGGAAUUUUGGGCAAUGGGGGAAACCCUGACCCAGCAACGCCGCGUGAAGGAUGAAGUAUUUCGGUAUGUAAACUUCGAAAGAAUAGGAAGAAUAAAUGACGGUACUAUUUAUAAGGUCCGGCUAACUACGUGCCAGCAGCCGCGGUAAUACGAAGGGAGCUAGCGUUGUUCGGAAUCACUGGGCGUAAAGCGCACGUAGGCGGAUAGUUAAGUCAGGGGUGAAAUCCUGGGGCUCAACCCCAGAACUGCCUUUGAUACUGGCUGCCUCGAGGUCGAGAGAGGUUGGUGGAAUUCCUAGUGUAGAGGUGAAAUUCGUAGAUAUUAGGAAGAACACCAGUGGCGAAGGCGGCCAACUGGCUCGAUACUGACGCUGAGGUGCGAAAGCGUGGGGAGCAAACAGGAUUAGAUACCCAAGUAGUCCCUGAGCGGGCUGGCAAGGCGCAU
rnacentral:rRNA from 1 species